UAACGCGUAGGUAACCUGCCUGGUAGCGGGGGAUAACUAUUGGAAACGAUAGCUAAUACCGCAUAAGAGUAGAUAUCGCAUGAUAGCUGCUUGAAAGGUGCAAUUGCACCACUACCAGAUGGACCUGCGUUGUAUUAGCUAGUUGGUGAGGUAACGGCUCACCAAGGCAACGAUACAUAGCCGACCUGAGAGGGUGAUCGGCCACACUGGGACUGAGACACGGCCCAGACUCCUACGGGAGGCAGCAGUAGGGAAUCUUCGGCAAUGGACGGAAGUCUGACCGAGCAACGCCGCGUGAGUGAAGAAGGUUUUCGGAUCGUAAAGCUCUAUUGUAAGAGAAGAACGAGUGUGAGAGUGGAAAGUUCACACUGUGACGGUAGCUUACCAGAAAGGGACGGCUAACUACGUGCCAGCAGCCGCGGUAAUACGUAGGUCCCGAGCGUUGUCCGGAUUUAUUGGGCGUAAAGCGAGCGCAGGCGGUUUGAUAAGUCUGAAGUUAAAGGCUGUGGCUCAACCAUAGUUUGCUUUGGAAACUGUCAAACUUGAGUGCAGAAGGGGAGAGUGGAAUUCCAUGUGUAGCGGUGAAAUGCGUAGAUAUAUGGAGGAACACCGGUGGCGAAAGCGGCUCUCUGGUCUGUAACUGACGCUGAGGCUCGAAAGCGUGGGGAGCGAACAGGAUUAGAUACCCUGGUAGUCCACGCCGUAAACGAUGAGUGCUAGGUGU
rnacentral:rRNA from 1 species